rnacentral:lncRNA from 1 species
CAAAAACCUCAUCAUACAGCGAUUUCCUUGUUAAGCGAGGCAAUCGUUAAGCAAGGCACCACUGUAUAAGACCCUGUCUUAUUUUCAGGGAAACACAGUAGGUAGGUAGGUAGGUAGGCAGGCAGGCAGGCAGGCAGGCAGGCAGGCAAGCAGGCAGACAGACAGACAGCCAGAUGACCAGGCUGGUAGCACAUGCAGAUAUAUUGCCAACUUAGUAACAAUUACAAUUAAUUACAAACGAAGUAAAAAUGUAUAGCCUUUUAAAGCCCAUUCAGCCAGGCCUCCGGAGCCUGAAAGCAGGUAAGCCAGGACAGGUGGAAAAAGAAGGAAAAUUCUAGAGUGUUUGACACCAUUGUUUCCCCAACUGGCAUCUUUUUCUCUCUCCAGGGACUUUCCCUGGCUACUUCCAGCGUGGCUCUCGGAAGGGAAAACAUACGAUAGAAAGGAAACGAGACGCCAACCCAAAAGAAAAAAGCAGAUUGAGAGGGGCCCCCUCAGCCAUGGCUUGGAGCACCUGCCGAGGGUGUCUCCUGAAGCGACGACAUUUGUGGUGGGGUCUGUUGUGGCAGUUCAGGUUGCUGCUGCCGUUGCCCCUGCUUGGGCGGAAAGUCCACCACCGUGCCAGGUUGGAGGGUGGAUCGCCCGAAAAGACCCCUCAAGACUGGCACCAGGGACGCCACGAGGGCCCACAGGCUGAACUGUAACAAGAGAUACCCUAAUGAGUCCUGAAGGGCAUAACACAAAGAUCACUUUUUGCAAAGGCAUUGGAAACUCUAAAAGACCUUGAAGAAUACAACUACACCCCUGGAAGUGAUCUGCCACAAGCAGCUUCCCUAAUUUCUCUAAUUAGAUAUUAUGUAACUUCUCCCAUCCAAUCUAUAUUCUGUCACCUUAGCCAGCUCAGCAAGGACACCCAAAGAUCUGUCUGUUAAGACAAUGUGUUUGUUUAACAGUAACACCACAAGGCAUGGCUCCAAACUCAGCAUGACGAGUACCAUGGAAGGACUGCUGGAUGCCUAUUGCUAUUGUGCCAAACUUUCUUUCAACCAGCUGUAGGGUGUUGGAGUGGGUUGGGGUUGGGGUUGUGGAAUGGAAGUUGAUGUCCCUCAUCAGUGCCUGUCAUGUGAUUCCACCAUGAGUCAAUAAAUAGCAUUUUGUUCUAACA